GACUCGAUAGCUCAAUGGGUAGAGCGGCGGUCUAGAUACCCGAAGAUGCGAGUUCACUGAAAUCCCGCUCGAGCCA